rnacentral:rRNA from 1 species
AACGCGAAGAACCUUACCUGGUCUUGACAUCCACAGAAGUUUCCAGAGAUGGGAAUGUGCCUUCGGGAACCGUGAGACAGGUGCUGCAUGGCUGUCGUCAGCUCGUGUUGUGAAAUGUUGGGUUAAGUCCCGCAACGAGCGCAACCCUUAUCCUUUGUUGCCAGCGGUCCGGCCGGGAACUCAAAGGAGACUGCCAGUGAUAAACUGGAGGAAGGUGGGGAUGACGUCAAGUCAUCAUGGCCCUUACGACCAGGGCUACACACGUGCUACAAUGGCGCAUACAAAGAGAAGCGACCUCGCGAGAGCAAGCGGACCUCAUAAAGUGCGUCGUAGUCCGGAUUGGAGUCUGCAACUCGACUCCAUGAAGUCGGAAUCGCUAGUAAU